rnacentral:tRNA from 1 species
GCCGAGGUGGCGGAAUUGGUAGACGCGCUGGAUUCAGGAUCCAGUGUUCUUAACCGGACGUGCGGGUUCGAGUCCCGCCCUCGGCA